rnacentral:sRNA from 1 species
UAAUAGAAGAAAAGAGAGCCAUGCGUCAACAUGACUCUUGAUACAAGCCCAUUUAAGAUGGUGACUAGCGUUAAUAGUUAAAA